UACAGAGGUCCCAAGCGUUGUUCGGAUUCAUUGGGCGUAAAGGGUGCGUAGGCGGCGCGGUAAGUCGGGGUGUGAAAUCUCGGAGCUUAACUCCGAAACUGCAUUCGAUACUGCCGUGCUUGAGGACUGGAGAGGAGACUGGAAUUUACGGUGUAGCGGUGAAAUGCGUAGAUAUCGUAAGGAAGACCAGUGGCGAAGGCGGGGUCUCUGGACAGUUCCUGACGCUGAGGCACGAAGCCAGGGGAGCAAACGGG
rnacentral:rRNA from 1 species